GGUGUUAUAGUAUAGUGGUUAGUACGAUUCGUUGUGGCCAACAACCUCAAUGUUCCGAAUAGACCCAGGUUCGAUUCCUGGUAACGCCA